GUAGCUUGCUACUCUGCCGGCGAGCGGCGGACGGGUGAGUAAAGUCUGGGRAUCUGGCUUAUGGAGGGGGAUAACCAUUGGAAACGGUGGCUAAUACCGCAUGAUGUCGCAAGACCAAAGUGGGGGACCUUARGGCCUCACGCCAUGAGAUGAACCCAGAUGAGAUUAGCUAGUAGGUGCGGUAAUGGCGUACCUAGGCGACGAUCUCUAGCUGGUCUGAGAGGAUGACCAGCCACACUGGAACUGAGAGACGGUCCAGACUCCUACGGGAGGCAGCAGUGGGGAAUAUUGCACAAUGGGCGGAAGCCUGAUGCAGCCAUGCCGCGUGUGUGAAGAAGGCCUUAGGGUUGUAAAGCACUUUCAGCGGGGAGGAAGGCGGUAAGAGUAAUAUGCUUAUCRAUUGACGUUACCCGCAAAAGAAGCACCGGCUAACUCCGUGCCAGCAGCCGCGGUAAUACGGAGGGUGCGAGCGUUAAUCGGAAUAACUGGGCGUAAAGRGCAUGUAGGCGGUAAGUUAAGUCAGAUGUGAAAUCCCCGAGCUUAACUUGGGAACGGCAUUUGAGACUGGCUGGCUAGAGUUUUGUAGAGGGGGGUAGAAUUCCAGGUGUAGCGGUGAAAUGCGUAGAGAUCUGGAGGAAUACCGGUGGCGAAGGCGGCCCCCUGGACAAGGACUGACGCUGAGGUGCGAAAGCGUGGGUAGCAAACAGGAUUAGAUACCCUGGUAGUCCACGCUGUAAACGAUGUCGAUUUGGAGGUUGUGACCUAGUGUUAUGG
rnacentral:rRNA from 1 species